CAGAUAUUAGAAAAUUAGUCUGUUUGUAUUGGGGAGCAAUUUACUAUUUUACCCAUGUUGCCCUAGCUCGUCACUUUUGUGAAGAAGCAGCAGCAGCAGCAGCAGUAACGGGGAGGCAAGAAGAGAAGUUCUCUCUCUUAAUUACGGCGUCGGUUGGAUGCUUCAUCUUCAAAUUUUCGAUCUUCAGAUUCAGCUGAGCAUCUGCUGCAUCGGUGCUUUUAUUGCUGUGAUUUAAAGUAUUGGUGAAACAGUCAUUCAGCCAUUCUCUACCUUACCUGCACGUUCUCGUUCAAUUUUAAUUCCAAUUGAAAUUACUGAGUGACGGGUGUUCUGCAGAAUGGAUUUGAUCAGUGCCCUGCCAGUAGAUGUAAAACUUGAAAUUCUACAGCGCGGUCCUUUUGAAGAAGCAGCAAGAGCAGACAUCUUGUCAAGUACAAGCAUUUGGUCUGAUCGUCCACAACUUGUGUUUAAUAAGUUCUUCUUUGAAGAGCGCGGCAGAUGGAUCGCACUCGAUCUAACUGCAUGGGUGGACAGAGUGAACGAAACUAUCCGUCGUCACAACGGUCCCAUUGGAAACGUUAUUCUCCACGUUCCGGACAAACAAUUUAAAUGGGCUCCACAUAUUAACAUCUGGGUGUUUUCCCUGUCAAGGAAGAGCAUCGAGGGACUCACUGUGGAUAAUUGCC